AUUGAACGCUGGCGGCAGGCCUAACACAUGCAAGUCGAGCGAGCGGCGGACGGGUGAGUAAUGUAUGGGGACUGCCCGCUAGAGGGGGAUAACUACUGGAAACGGUGGAUAAUACCGCAUACUAUCGGAUAACCCAUAUGGGAUUAGCUAUGAGGUGGGGUAAAGGCUCACCUAGGCGGCGAUCUCGAGCUGGUCGGAGAGGAUGAUCAGCCACACGUGGACUGAGACACGGCCCAGACUCCUACGGAGGCAGCAGUGGGGAGUAUUGCACAAUGGGGGCAAGCCUGAUGCAGCCAUGCGGCGUGUAUGAAGAAGGCCUUAGGGUUGUAAAGUACUUUCAGCGGUGAGUCGUUACCCGCAGAAGAAGCACCGGCUAACUCCGUGCCAGCAGCCGCGGUAAUUC
rnacentral:rRNA from 1 species